UGUACAUAUGUUAUACACAUAUGUGUAUUACAUUUGUGUAUAUAUAUAUUUCCAUGAUAUAUAUAAUAUAUAUUUCCAUGAUAUAUUAUGUAUAAAAAUGCCUUGGUACUAUAUGACUGCAUUCAAUUCAAGAAGGAUACUAGUCACUGUGAGCAGCACCACACUGAGGUCUGAAUUCAUGAUUAGGAAUGAGAGUUGGGCAUUGCUUUGCUAAGUUGUGGCCCCAUCAAAGAGCAUUUUAGAUGCUUUACCAGAUAGAUUUAGUGGUCCAAUCAAAGCUAGGAUGAAGACAUAGAAUGAAAAAAAUCAGUAUAAGACUGAGAGUCUUACCCAUGACCUCAACAUAUUCUCUUAAUCUAAUUAAAAGAGCCACAGCAUCAUUUUUCUUUCAACAAAUGUUGACUGAUCACUUACCACCUGCCAGAUGUUUUUUUUUUUUUUUUUAGUGAGGAGAAAGGACAGUACAAAGUCCUGCUCUGGUGGGGCUUACCUGCUGGUGGGAGAAGAAAGAAGGUAAAUGAAUAAAUAAAUAACAGUUGUCCCUUAUUGAGGGAGGGGGGGUUGAUUCCACGACCCCUGCCAAGGAUACCAAAACCCAGGAAUGUGCCAGUCCCUUCAUAUUGGGUUAGGCCUAGUAUUUGCACAUGAUCUAAGGCACCCUGUACACGUCCCUCUGUACACGUCCCUCUGUACUCGUCCAGUCAUCUUAAGAUGGCAUGAAGUAUAUAAUAUCACAUAAAUGAUACGUAAAUGGUUGCAUUACGGGCAACUAUUUGCCAUCCAAGUUUGGUCGAAUGUGCUGAUGCGGAAUCCACGAGCGCAGAGGCGGAGCUUGUUACCAGGUCACGUGGUGCUGAGCAGAUGUGGAAGACAGCGAUUGGUGGGACCUGUCGUGUGACCUCACGGUCUGACGUAAGGCAGAGAG
rnacentral:lncRNA from 1 species